rnacentral:rRNA from 1 species
AACGAACGCUGGCGGCAUGCCUAACACAUGCAAGUCGAACGAGACCUGCGGGUCUAGUGGCGCACGGGUGCGUAACGCGUGGGAACCUGCCUAUAGGUUCGGAAUAAAGCAGAGGAAUUUGAGCUAAUACCGGAGGAUGUCUUCGGACCAAAGAGUUAUAGCCUGUGGAUGGGCCUGCGUUGGCUUGGCUUGUUGGGGGGCUAAGGGGCUACCACGACGAGGGGGGAUAACGGGUCCGAGAGGAUGAUCAGCCACACUGGGACUGAGAGACGGUCCAGACUCCUGGGGGAGGCAGCAGUCCGGAAUAUUGGCGGAUGGGCGAAGGGGUGAAUCAGGCAUACCGGGUGAGUGCAGAAGGCCUUCGGAUCGUAAAGCACUUUAAGUUGGGAGGGAGGGAAGUAAUUUUAUACCUUGCUGUUUUGACGUUACCAGGAGAAUAAGCCCCGGCUAACUUCGUG